CUCGACCGGGGCGACAGCAAUAUGAAGGUCAGGCUGAAGACCUUACCCGAUUAGCUGAGAGGUGGUGCAUGGCCGUCGUCAGUUCGUACUGUGAAGCAUCCUGUUAAGUCAGGCAACGAGCGAGACCCACGUCCACAGUUGCCAGCAUACCCUCCGGGGUGAUGGGUACACUGUGGAGACCGCCGCUGCUAAAGCGGAGGAAGGAGUGGGCAACGGUAGGUCAGUAUGCCCCGAAUCUCCCGGGCUACACGCGGGCUACAAUGGUUGGUACAAUGGGCAUCUACCCCGAAAGGGGAAGGAAAUCUCUUAAAGCCAAUCGUAGUUCGGAUUGAGGGCUGCAACUCGCCCUCAUGAAGCUGGAAUCCGUAGUAAUCGCGUUUCAACAGAACGCGGUGAAUACGUCCCUGCUCCUU
rnacentral:rRNA from 1 species